rnacentral:rRNA from 1 species
UCGCCUGUUUUCAAAAACAUUGCCUUUUGCUUUAAUUUAUAAAAGGUAUUUCUGCCCAGUGAGAAUAAACCCUUCAACGGCCGCGGUAUCCUGACCGUGCUAAGGUAGCACAAUUAUGCGCCUCUUAAUUGGAGGAUAGAAUGAAUGAAAUUACAGAUCAUGAUGCUGUCCUAAGAUCAUACACCUGAAAUUAACUUAUAAGUGCAAAGGCUUACAUACUUUUUAAGGACAAAAAGACCCUAAAAGCUUCCAAAGAUUUUAUUUAUUCAAAAUAGAUCGUUGUUUACUUGGGGCGAGGAUAUGUAUUAUACACAUUACCAGAGUUAGAGCUACAUCUCUAUUGUAUAUAGCCUGUCGCAUGUGAGCAAGCUACUUUAGGGAUAACAGGUCGAUCUGCCAUUAGUAGCCCGCAUACUAUGGUCAGGCUUGACACCUCGAUGUUGGCUUAGGAACCA